rnacentral:pre_miRNA from 1 species
CUAUUAAAACUUCAUCUAUUUGUAAUAUUAAAAAUCAGUGUAGCUGAUAAGAUAACUAUACAAUAAUCGUGGCAUGAUAUGUGUACAUAUUAAUGUACAGGAACCAAUUUUUAAUAAUAGAAAUGAAUUAAUUUUUAAUUA